GACGAACGCUGGCGGCGUGCUUAACACAUGCAAGUCGAACGGAAAGGCCCUGCUUUUGUGGGGUGCUCGAGUGGCGAACGGGUGAGUAACACGUGAGUAACCUGCCCUUGACUUUGGGAUAACUUCAGGAAACUGGGGCUAAUACCGGAUAGGAGCUCCUGCUGCAUGGUGGGGGUUGGAAAGUUUCGGCGGUUGGGGAUGGACUCGCGGCUUAUCAGCUUGUUGGUGGGGUAGUGGCUUACCAAGGCUUUGACGGGUAGCCGGCCUGAGAGGGUGACCGGCCACAUUGGGACUGAGAUACGGCCCAGACUCCUACGGGAGGCAGCAGUGGGGAAUAUUGCACAAUGGGCGGAAGCCUGAUGCAGCAACGCCGCGUGCGGGAUGACGGCCUUCGGGUUGUAAACCGCUUUCGCCGGUGACGAAGCGUGAGUGACGGUAAUGGGUAAAGAAGCACCGGCUAACUA
rnacentral:rRNA from 1 species